GGUAAUUAACGGUAUCCGCUUCCUGCUCGAAGCUGUUACCCACCGGAUUCCAAGGCCGGCAAGCCGAGGAACACCGGGCAAAGAACCCGCCUAGAUAGGUGGGUUUUUUGUUUUC
rnacentral:antisense_RNA from 1 species